rnacentral:tRNA from 1 species
ACCAGGGUGGCUUAGUCGGUUAAAUGUCUGACUUUGGCUCAGGUUAUGAUCUCAUUGCUUGUGGGUUCAAGUCCCGCAUCUGGCU